rnacentral:tRNA from 1 species
UCCCUGGUGGCUCAGAGGGUAGAGUGUCUGCCUGCAAUGCAGGAGACCUGGGUUCGAUCCCUGGGUUGGGAA